AUACAUCCGCCCUCCAGAGAGUUGGCUCAGCCGGGGUGAGGCUCGCACGCUGCUCUGUGGACCUGCUGGCCCCUGUGAAUUCCCCAGAUGUGGGAAUCUCGGCUGCAUAAUUUCUGGUAGCGGGGGACUGCAUUCAUGCUCUCCCUCA
rnacentral:snRNA from 1 species